rnacentral:rRNA from 1 species
GACGAACGCUGGCGGCGUGCUUAACACAUGCAAGUCGAACGGAAAGGCCCUGCUUUUGUGGGGUGCUUGAGUGGCGAACGGGUGAGUAACACGUGAGUAACCUGCCCUUGACUUUGGGAUAACUUCAGGAAACUGGGGCUAAUACCGGAUAGGAGCUCCUGCUGCAUGGUGGGGGUUGGAAAGUUUCGGCGGUUGGGGAUGGACUCGCGGCUUAUCAGCUUGUUGGUGGGGUAGUGGCUUACCAAGGCUUUGACGGGUAGCCGGCCUGAGAGGGUGACCGGCCACAUUGGGACUGAGAUACGGCCCAGACUCCUACGGGAGGUAGCAGUGGGGAAUAUUGCACAAUGGGCGGAAGCCUGAUGCAGCAACGCCGCGUGCGGGAUGACGGCCUUCGGGUUGUAAACCGCUUUCGCCUGUGACGAAGCGUGAGUGACGGUAAUGGGUAAAGAAGCACCGGCUAACUACGUG